rnacentral:pre_miRNA from 1 species
AGUGUUCAUCACUGGCCUCGAUGUGUUUGUUGAAACCAUAAGGCACGCGGUGAAUGCCAA